ACAAUAAUAGUUUAAGUAAAAUGAUGAUUUUGUAAAUCAAUGAUUGAAAAUUACUUUCUUAUUGUA
rnacentral:tRNA from 1 species